rnacentral:lncRNA from 1 species
GAGAUCCUGCUUUCUCUUCAGAAUGCCAUCUCUAGGAUGCCAAUGGGCUGUGUCUACAGUACUAUGUAGGAAAGUGCUGCAAGAGGUACUUGCACUGGGACUACUAAAAGAAACAACUUUACCCAUGGAGAAUGCAGAAAAGCAAGGCAGGAUGGUGGCCCACCCUGGAAGGACAUGGAGCCAAGGGAGCCUCCCCCAUCCAGGGAGGUGGUGAGUGAAUGCUGUGGCCCUGGGAACCCACGCUUCUCCCAUGGGUCUUCGUACCCUUGGGUCAGGAGAUCCCCUCGUGGACCCACUCCACCAGGGCCUUCAGUCUGACACACAGAACUCUGUGGAGUCUCGUCAGAGCAGCCAUUGAGUUUGCUGAGAAUGAUGGUUUCCAGCUUCAUCCAUGUCCCUGCAAAAGACAUGAACUCAUCAUUUUUUAUGGCUCCACAGUAUUCUAUGGCUGAUGGAAUGAUGAAGGCUCUAAUCAUUGGAAGGACACCUGCUCAUCAUAGACAGAUAUUUGAAGAAGGCAAGGGCCUCUGAUUAACUUUGA